GGUUGAUCCUGCCAGUAGUCAUACGCUUGUUUCAAAGAUUAAGCCAUGCAAGUUUAAGUCUAAGCAUUAAUACAGCAAAACUGCGAAAAGCUCAUUAUAACAGUUAUAAUUUAAACAAGAGAAUACUAAAUGGAUAUCCAUGGUAAUUCUGAAGUUAAUACAUGUCUAAAAACGAUACCUAGUGUAUCGUGGCGGUCGUGCGUUCUUAUAUCAUAACUUUUGAUGUGAAAGAAACGAAUUCGCUGAUCUCCGCCUUGGCGGAGACAACUUGUUUAAAUUUCUGACCUAUCAG
rnacentral:rRNA from 1 species